AUGGCAGCGGGUGGAGCUAUUACAAACAAGACACUUGAUGAAGCUUUUCUGUUGAUUGAGAGCAUAGCUUUCCACCAACUUCAGUGGUACAAUAAGAAGCCCACGUCUGAUUCAUUGGUUUGCUUGCAACAAAUCACUACACCUCAGCCACCAAUUCUUACACAGAAGCCUGAACCUCUAUCUCAGUGUGACAAGAUUGAGCUUGCAUGGAUUAUCUUUGACGAUGAUGACACCAUUCUAGUUGACACACACGCUACAGAUCAUAUGGAUACUAGUGUUGGAGACUCGGUUUUGCAUUGUGAUGAUUCUUCCAUUGAUGAGCUAGAGCUGCAGUUAGUUGUUUUUGAUAUUGAGGAGUCACCUUUAGUUGAUAUUGAUCAUGUGCUGCUAAAGCCAGAUAUGGAGAAGUUCACCUUCGAUGAUGUUAGCUGUAUUGCUUCCUCAACACUUGAGCCUGAGAUGGAGAGCUUCAUGGUUGAGUAUGGCGAGGUGGAUUCAGAUGUCAAGGAGCCAAGCUCUACUAUUUCACUUGUUGACAUGAGUCCGGUGGAAAUUUCUACUACCACACCUCACUUGGUAUCUUCAAUUGAGGUAGUCCUGAAGCUUCUUCCCAAGUAUCUCAGGUAUGAUAUCAGCUUUCUCGACAAGAUAUGCCAUAUCAUGGAUACUGCCUAUGCACCAUGUGACUUGUUGUUGAUACAUGUUCCUGACUUGCUCAAUAAAUAUACUUAUAUGAUAGGGUACUCUAUCGAUGACUUAGAGGGCAUUCUCUCUGUCACUUGUAUUGGCUUGGUUGUUGAGUGUUCUUUCAGGUUGAUGCUUUUGUACCAUUUACUGCGAGUUGACCGAGUUCGAGAUGACAUUCCCUGGGAUCCUGGUGGAUUCACGGCAUGGUGA
rnacentral:rRNA from 1 species